CGCUGAUGUAGCUCAGUUGGUAGAGCAACUGAUUCGUAAUCAAGUUUCGCGCUUCAGCAAAGUCCGGCAACGUCUCAGACAA
rnacentral:tRNA from 1 species